GAUGAAGAACGUAGUGAAAUGCGACAAGUAAUGUGAAUUGCAGAAUUCAGUGAAUCAUCGAGUCUUUGAACGCACAUUGCGCCCCCUGGUAUUCCGGGGGGCAUGCCUGUCCGAGCGUCAUUGCUGCCCUCAAGCACGGCUUGUGUGUUGGGCCUCCGUCCUCCUCCCGGGGGACGGGCCCGAAAGGCAGCGGCGGCACCGCGUCCGGUCCUCGAGCGUAUGGGGCUUCGUCACCCGCUCUUGUAGGCCCGGCCGGCGCUUGCCGACACAUCAAUCUUUUUUCCAGGUUGACCUCGGAUCAGGUAGGGAUACCCGCUGAACUUAAGCAUAUCAAUAAGCGGAGGA
rnacentral:misc_RNA from 1 species